GUCUUGUUCGAGAAACGUUGAUGUAUUUUGGUGUAUUUUAUUCGAAUUUUACUCAUUUUGUUUGAUUUUUAAUUCGUAUCGAAGUUUAUUGUUUCGCGAGAAUUCGGAUUAAUUAACAAAUUAGAGAAUUUGUUCGUCGUAUUAUCGAAUAAACGAGAAUCUUGUGCCUGUGACCGGUGUGCGUUUACUACUUACGCCUGUGACCGGUGUGCGUUUACUACAUACGUAAAUCUUCUACAUUGUGUGUAUAAAAUUCAUUUCAUAUACCUGAGGAGUAGUAGCUGUGCCUGAAAUUGAAAUCGUUUUGUAAUUGACGUUACGCUCUUUAUUGUGCUUUGCUGCAGUGAUUUAUACCUACAUUGGAUUACAUAUUUCCGGAUUUUACCAGAUUUCCUUGUCGUUUUUUGAAUCACUUUUUUGGGUCAUUUUUCGUCUUCAAGAUGGUUUCAAGGACCCGAAGGAUGCGUGAACAGAAGAGAGCAUCCCACAAUGUGAAGAAAUGCUCCAAUAAUGAUUUGCCAAAUAGAUGCAAUCAUAAAAAAAUGAACAAAGAUUUGCCAACUAGAUGCAAUCUUGAAAAAUGUUCAAAACAAGAUGUGCCAAAUAGAUGCAAUCUUGAAAUAAAUACAAAUGAAAAAUUGCUAACUAGAUGCAAUCUUGAAACAAAUUCAAGUAAUUAUGUUAAUGUGGAUUCAACCACUGUGCAUGAUAUAAAAAAACACAAGGUUGUAAACCAAAAAAAUGAGAAUAAUGAGAUUGAAUAUCUUUCUCAAUCUAUUACAAAUGUAAAUAUUUCACAAUCCAAUGAGUUAAUAAAGUUGAUUGAAAGUAUGAAAAGUUUUAGUAUUAUUAUUCCACAUUAUAACAUAAGUACUGAACAAAACACAUUGAGUCAUGUGCCACAGCAAAAUGUGUCUACAUCCAUUAGUUCUAGAUCUUCUAUUACUUUACCAAAACUAGACAUUAAUCCGGUAUUAACAUCAAUUGCACAAAUAGAAUCAACUUCCAACAUGUUUUCAUCUUUGAAAAUUCAUGAUACAAAACAAAAAGAGAAAGAACGCUGUAGAAAAAAAUAUAUAGAUUUGAAAAAAGAUGCACAAAAAUAUAGAAAACGUAUUGAAAGUAUAUUAAAAGCAAGGAAAUUGAGAUUUCAGAAUGAUUCUACUACUCAUGAAAAAUUUGAAUUGUAUAAGAAAUAUCAUCAGAAAGAAUGCAUGAAGGAUGAUAGCUUGAGAACAAGUCAUCUUGAGAAAUUGAAAAUUAAUCAACAAAAGAGAUUGAAAAAUCCAGAUCUUAGACAGAAGCAUAUUGAAAAAAAUAAGUUAAAUCAAAAAGAAAGGUUGAAAAACCCAGAUCUGAGGUGCAAGCAUAUUGAAAAAUCAAAGUUUAAUCGAGAAGAGAGGUUGAAAAACCCAGAUCUGAGGCUCAAACAUCUUGAAAAAUUGAAGUUAUAUCAAAAAGAGAGGUUGAAAACCCCAGAUCUGAGGUGCAAGCAUAUUGAAAAAUCGAAGUUUAAUCGAGAAGAGAGGUUGAAAAACCCAGAUCUGAGGCUCAAACAUCUUGAAAAAUUGAAGUUAUAUCAAAAAGAGAGGUUGAAAACCCCAGAUCUGAGGUGCAAGCAUAUUGAAAAAUCAAAGUUUAAUCGAAAAGAGAGGUUGAAAAAUCCAGAUCUGAGGCUCAAACAUCUUGAAAAAUUGAAGUUAUAUCAAAAAGAGAGGUUGAAAAACCCAGAUCUGAGGAGCAAGCAUAUUGAAAAAUCAAAAUUGAAUCAAAAAGAGAGACUAAAAAACCCAGUGUUUAGACUGAAACAUAUUGAAAUACUCAGAUACAAUCAAAAAGUUCGUUUGCUGAAUUUACAAAAACGAAAGAUCCAUAAUGAAAUGCAAAAACGUUGUCAACAGAAUCGUCUCACACGUCCUGGCUUACGAAGUGCUCAUAAUAGAAGACAAAGUCAGUACAUUAAAAGGAAAAUUAUUUCUGAUCCAGUUUUCAGAAGUAAUUAUUGUAAGAAAUUAAAAUUAUAUAGAAUGAAAGUGAGACAACAGUUAGGGGAAAUGAAAUUUAAAAGCAAGCAAAGAGAACAAACACAAAGAAGUAGAUCUAAGAAAUUAUAUGCAAAAAAAUUUAAAAUGUUUGAACAAUAUGAACAUAGAAUAAAAUUUGGCCCGGAUCAAAUCUGUUCAUCUUGUGAUCGUUUAUUUUUCAAACAAAGUAUAAAAUCAUUAGAUUUAAAUGAUGUAUACGUAUCAAAAUUUCCUACAGAUUUUAUUAAGAUGACUUGGAAUACUGAUUGUGAUAGAGUAAAAUUAUGUCAAACAUGUUUUCGGGCAGUGAAAACUGGUGA